rnacentral:rRNA from 1 species
GUGGGGAAUAUUGCACAAUGGGCGAAAGCCUGAUGCAGCGACGCCGCGUGAGCGAUGAAGUAUUUCGGUACGUAAAGCUCUAUCAGCAGGGAAGAUAAUGACGGUACCUGACUAAGAAGCACCGGCUAAAUACGUGCCAGCAGCCGCGGUAAUACGUAUGGUGCAAGCGUUAUCCGGAUUUACUGGUUGUAAAGGGAGCGUAGGCGGCGUGGUGAGUCAGAAGUGAAAGCCCGGGGCUCAACCCCGGGACUGCUUUUGAAACUAUCAUGCUAGAGUGUCGGAGAGGUAAGUGGAAUUCCUAGUGUAGCGGUGAAAUGCGUAGAUAUUAGGAGGAACACCAGUGGCGAAGGCGGCUUACUGGACGAUAACUGACGCUGAGGCUCGAAAGCGUGGGGAGCAAACAGGAUUAGAUACCCCUGUAGUCC